rnacentral:tRNA from 1 species
CGGGACGUAGCUCAGCCUGGUUAGAGCGCUGCCUUUGGGAGGCAGAGGCCGAAGGUUCGAAUCCUUCCGUCCCGA